rnacentral:rRNA from 1 species
UACAGAGGUCCCAAGCGUUGUUCGGAUUCACUGGGCGUAAAGGGUGCGUAGGCGGUCGGGUAAGUCUGAUGUGAAAUCUCACAGCUUAACUGUGAAACUGCAUUGGAUACUAUUCGGCUUGAGAGUUGGAGGGGGGACUGGAAGUUCUUGGUGUAGCAGUGAAAUGCGUAGAUAUCAAGAGGAACACCAGUGGCGAAGGCGAGUCCCUGGACAACUUCUGACGCUGAGGCACGAAAGCUAGGGGAGCAAACAGG